CCAUAACGUGUUCCCUCGGUGUCUGAGGAAUGCCUUUCAAAACCAUAUCACUACAGCUGCUUGGAAAUUCUCCCUUUGAAAUGGUCUUUAUAACAUCUUAAUAUUAGCCCAUUUGUCUUUCUUUUUUGUGCUAGUAACUGCUGAUGGACAUUCUCAGAAGACUGUAUACUAGGAUGGGCCACUGCUGAGAAGUGUCUUGGUAACUGGACAGUUUUGGAGGGGAAAAGAUGAAAAACAUGCUUGGCUCAUCAAUCCCUGAUGCAUUAAUGUCAUCUCAGUGUCCCCAUGUGAAAGAAAAAGUAACUUUCUGCCUUGACUUCAGCAGCAGGUUUUUACCUGAAGGU
rnacentral:lncRNA from 1 species